rnacentral:misc_RNA from 1 species
AUCUUCUCAACCUUAUUGGUUUCAUUGAGACCAACAAGACUUGGACUUUGGAGGUUUUUCUUGCUGGCCUUGUUUUCAAGUCAGCUCCUCCUAAAUGAAUUGGUGGGGUCCGCAUUAGUCGAUCCUUGACGUGAUAAGCAUUUCUUCUACGUCAUGUCGGCUCGGAACCUGCUUUCUAACCCUAGAGUUACAUGUACCUCUACCAUUUUAUAAA